AUUGAACGCUGGCGGCAUGCUUUACACAUGCAAGUCGAACGGUAACAGGCCUUCGGGUGCUGACGAGUGGCGAACGGGCGAGUAAUUCAUCGGAACGUACCCAGAGGUGGGGGAUAACGCAGCGAAAGCUGUGCUAAUACCGCAUGUGAUCUGAGGAUGAAAGCGGGGGACCGAGCAGCAAUGUUUGGCCUCGCGCCUUUGGAGCGGCCGAUGUCGGAUUAGCUAGUUGGUGGGGUAAAGGCCUACCAAGGCGACGAUCCGUAGCUGGUCUGAGAGGACGGCAAGCCACACUGGGACUGAGACACGGCCCAGACUCCUACGGGAGGGAGCAGUGGGGAAUGUUGGACAACAGGCGCAAGCAUGAUCCAGCAAUGCCGCGUGCGGGAAGAAGGCCUUCGGGUUGUAAACAGCUUUUGGCAGGAACGAAACGGUGUCCGCUAAUACCGGGCGCUAAUGACGGUACCUGCAGAAUAAGCACCGGCUAACUACGUG
rnacentral:rRNA from 1 species